AGCAAGGUACGGGGCGGUCACUGAUGACGCGAGACGCUGCUGCCGAGUCACCGCUGCGGAGAGUCUGAGAGAGAAAGAGCCGGCUGACUCUGGAAGCCUACGAACUUUGGUUCCGCUUGCGGGGGAGGAGGAAGCUGAGCUACCAGGAAGCCGCGGGGCCACCUGAAGAGAGCCGAGCUAUCAAGGAGGUGCCCUGCUUAUAUCAUAAAGACAGCCCGAUCCUGGGGAGAAAGAAUCUCAAUCUUUGAAAAUAAGAGGAAGAAAAUAAACAUAAGAAAAAAUACUUUAAAUUGAAAGUUCUGAUUUUGGAAGUAUUUGAAUUAUGUCAAAGGCGAUAUUCAACACACUCAGCAACCAGUACAGCAAGGCACCAUCCAGUCAGAAUGGACACCCUGAAACAACUCUGAAACACCACCAGCCUGAAACAACACUGCGGCUAGAUCUCUGUGUCUCAGCUGAAUGUCAGUCCUGAAUUAUACUGUGUGGUCAUGAUGAGUUUUAGGCCAUUGACAACCAGUUGCAAGUUGACCUGAAGGCGAUCAGCUUUGAAGGCAGAGAUGAACAUGAUUUCACCAGGAGGCACUGCAGGCAGCUUGCAAAUCACCUUGCUGAGCCAGUUUUGCAGAGAAAGAGUUAUCAAUGUCAUGGGGGCAUUAGUUUUUCAACAUUUACUUUAUGCAUUCAAUAGGCCCCUGUAAGGAAUUUCUGGCUGUUUGGCAGUGGCCUAAAUGUACUUGCUUCUCUGUGGCCCAAUGCCCCAGAUACGAUUCUUGCAAUCAAGUAAGGGUUAGUUAGGUUUCCUUCAGUUUAUUCCAAUCUAUGUUCUGACUACAACUUUUCAGAGUUCUUCAGGAAGUUUCUGACAAAAAUGAAAGCCUUUGGCAAGUGUCUGAGGAAGUAGACAACAGAUCAAGAUUCCCCUCCCCAAAAGAUAUAUUAGUCACUUAUGGAGAAAUUCCAAGACCUCCUUGAAAAUAAAACAUUAAUGAAUAUGAAAGGGGGAUCCCCCACUGGAAUCAGGAGAAAGCACAUAACAUGAAAAUCAUAUGGAGGGGCGCCUGGGUGGCUCAGUCGGUUAAGUGUCCGACUUCAGGUCAUGAUCUCACGG